UACGGAGGGGGCUAGCGUUGUUCGGAAUUACUGGGCGUAAAGCGCGCGUGGGCGGCUGUGCAAGUUAGAGGUGAAAGCCCGGAGCUCAACUCCGGAAUUGCCUUUAAGACUGCAUCGCUAGAAUCAUGGAGAGGUUAGUGGAAUUCCGAGUGUAGAGGUGAAAUUCGUAGAUAUUCGGAAGAACACCAGUGGCGAAGGCGACUAACUGGACAUGUAUUGACGCUGAGGUGCGAAAGCGUGGGGAGCAAACAGG
rnacentral:rRNA from 1 species